rnacentral:rRNA from 1 species
UACAGAGGGUGCGAGCGUUGUUCGGAAUUACUGGGCGUAAAGCGCGCGCAGGCGGCCUUUUAAGUCCAUCGGUCAAAUGCCGGGGCUCAACCCCCGUGCCCGCCGAGGAUACUGGAAGGCUGGAGACACGUAGAGGCAAGCGGAAUUCCGGGUGUAGCGGUGGAAUGCGUAGAGAUCCGGAAGAACACCGGAGGCGAAGGCGGCUUGCUGGGCGUAGUCUGACGCUGAGGCGCGAAAGCGUGGGGAGCGAACGAGG